rnacentral:misc_RNA from 1 species
AACGCACGAGACCUGCGGACCUGCGGAAGGAUCAUUACCGAGUUAUCCAACUCCCAACCCCUGUGAAUCAUACCUUUAAUUGUUGCUUCGGCGGGACUUCGCGCCCGCCGGGGACCCAAACCUUCUGAAUUUUUUAAUAAGUAUCUUCUGAGUGGUUAAAAAAAUGAAUCAAAACUUUCAACAAUGGAUCUCU